rnacentral:rRNA from 1 species
CCUACGGGUGGCUGCAGUGAGGAAUAUUGGUCAAUGGUCGGGAGACUGAAUCAGCCAAGCCGCGUGAGGGAUGAAGGUACAGAGUAUCGUAAACCUCUUUUGUCAGGGAACAAAGGCGGGGACGUGUCCCCGGAUGAGUGUACCUGACGAAAAAGCAUCGGCUAACUCCGUGCCAGCAGCCGCGGUAAUACGGGGGAGGCGAGCGUUAUCCGGAUUUAUGGGGGUAAAAGGGUGCGCAGGCGUUCUGUUAAGUCAGCGGUAAAAGCCCGGGGCUCAACCCCGGCCCGCCGUUGAAACUGGCAGUCUCGAGUUGGAGAGAAGUAUGCGGAAUGCGCGGUGUAGCGGUGAAAUGCAUAGAUAUGGCGCAGAACUCCGAUUGCGAAGGCAGCAUGCCGGCUCCACACUGACGCUGAGGCACGAAAGCGUGGGUAUCGAACAGGAUUAGAUACCCCAGUAGUC